GUUUUAUUGUUUUAACGCUUUGGGUACCUCAUGACCUACAGGAGCUACCGAUGAGCAUGCGCAGAGCCUUCAUCUGGGUCCCUAAGUUUCUGAUAGCUUUGUACCAAGCAUAUCAUUUAUGUCACAGGAUGAUAAAUGCAGUUCUUCCUGUAGGCUCAGAAAGAGGCCACAAAGGCUGAGAAGAGAACAAUAGUUGCCUGGUAACCACAAGAUCUAAGCCAAGGGGCUGGCUCAUCUAUGCAGGAUUUGCAAAGGGGGUGGCCCAAUGCUGAGUGUUACACAAUUAACAGAUCACCUAUCUCCAGUUCAGAGAAGAGGUGUACAGCAAACCCAAUUUCAAUCAAAAACUCAAGAGAGGCCCCUCUGAAAAGUAAUAAUAUGCAGCACAUCCUCAAGGAUGAGAAGAAGCCAGCUAUGGAAAGGGCAAGGAGGAAAAUGCACAGCGUCCAUGAGGCAUUAUUCUUUCUGAACAGCGAAAGUAAAUCAAGCAGUAGGAGGAAAGACCUGUUGAACUUCCC
rnacentral:lncRNA from 1 species